GAAAGGGUAGGUACUAAUUCCAAGGCUGACCCGGAAGUGAUAACGGAAGCGGGCAUUUCAACCCAAGAUGGACAGCAGUUCAGUGGCGUUUUGCCCGUUUUGCGGGGCACAUAUGAGUAGAUUAACGCGGUUUUGUUUUUCUUGUGGACGGUCCUUAGAGUUUUUAAAUGGGACAGAACAGACGGAAGGUCCAGAGGCACAGGGGAUAUGUCAACAGCCGGAUAAUGCUAAACAAACAGAAAAACCUUGCCCGUCAUAUAAACAGUUCCUGGAAUACUGAAGCUCGAAGUCCAAAGAGCGUCAGUCUUUUAACUACGGGCCUAGAGGAAGACACCGGGCUAAAGAACAAAAACACGUCCAGGUUUUUGAACUCCCAAAGAUAAGUCUGAAAAUGAAAGAGAUGCACUGGGACAUCAAGCUACAAUUCAGCCAGGACAGAUUGAGAAUGCUGCUACAUUGGAUGCUCUACAAGAAUGUAUCAUGAGACACAGCACAAUGUUGCAGACAGCAGGCUGUCUUAGACAUGUGGCUGCUGUGGACGAAAAGACAGAAAUUGUGGCCAACUACCUCCAGUGGUAUAUUUUUGACCGCAACUCAUCUGUAAUUGACAGUGUGUUCACUUUGUAGAUUCAAAGAUGGUCUUUCAGCUCUUCAGUUCCUGACUGCACUACAGCAACACCCUACUUUGCUGACCCCUGUCCUGUGCCACUGUGAAAAGCGACUGACUGCCUUUGAGCUUGAGAGACUCUUCAAACCUCAACUCAGCCCUUCAGGGAGUAAUAGGAGACUGAAAGAAAGCCAAACCUUGGCCUGCUGGGCAGACUAUCUCCUUGAUUGUGAAGAAGGCGAGGCUGCUGUGUCUGUGGAAGACAUUUUGAUGUUUGCAACUGGGCUGACAUCACUUCCCCCAUCUGGCUUGGAACCACUGCCACAAAUAGAGUUCCUGGAUGACGUUCCACUCCCAAUGGCAAAUACAUGUUCAAACUUGUUGAAAUUACCAUUUCUGGAUUCAUAUAGUGUGUUUAAGUCACAAAUGGACUUUGGAAUUCAAAAUAGUCCAGGAUUUAGUUGUCUAUAAACUAUAUAGCUAGAUAACCAUUAGAGUAGUGUUUUUCAAACCUGGUCAUCCAGGCACAAUGCCCUGCACGUUUUAGAUCAGAGAUCCUAAUCCUGAAUAACUGAU